AGCGGAAGGCCCUUCKGGGUACUCGAGCGGCGAACGGGUGAGUAACACGUGAGCAACCUGCCCCAARCUUUGGGAUAACCCUCGGAAACGGGGGCUAAUACCGAAUAGGACUUCCGGCCGCAUGGSUGGGGGUGGAAAGUUUUUCGGCUUGGGAUGGGCUCGCGGCCUAUCAGCUUGUUGGUGGGGUGAUGGCCUACCAAGGCGACRACGGGUAGCCGGCCUGAGAGGGCGACCGGYCACACUGGGACUGAGACACGGCCCAGACUCCUACGGGAGGCAGCAGUGGGGAAUAUUGCACAAUGGGCGGAAGCCUGAUGCAGCGACGCCGCGUGAGGGAUGACGGCCUUCGGGUUGUAAACCUCUUUCAGCAGGGACGAAGCGAGAGUGACGGAUCCUGCASAAGAAGCACCGGCCAACUACGUGCCARCAGCCGCGGUAAGACGUAGGGUGCGAGCGUUGUCCGGAUUUAUUGGGCGUAAAGAGCUCGUAKGCGGCUUGUCGCGUCGACCGUGAAAACUUGGGGCUCAACUCCAAGCCUGCGGUCGAUACGGGCAGGCUAGAGUUCGGUAGGGGAGACUGGAAUUCCUGGUGUAUCGGYGAAAUGCGCAGAUAUCAGGAGGAACACCGGUGGCGAAGGCGGGUCUCUGGGCCGAUACUGACGCUGASGAGCGAAAGCGUGGGGAGCGAACAGGAUUAGAUACCCUGGUAGUCCACGCUGUA
rnacentral:rRNA from 1 species